rnacentral:rRNA from 1 species
UACGGAGGGUGCGAGCGUUGUCCGGAAUCACUGGGCGUAAAGCGCGCGCAGGCGGUCCUUUAAGCCUGAUGUGAAAUCCCACGGCUCAACCGUGGAAGGUCAUUGGAAACUGGGGGACUUGAGUACAGAAGAGGAAAGCGGAAUUCCAAGUGUAGCGGUGAAAUGCGUAGAGAUUUGGAGGAACACCAGUGGCGAAGGCGGCUUUCUGGUCUGUAACUGACGCUGAGGCGCGAAAGCGUGGGGAGCAAACAGG